GACCCCGUAGUUCAGCCGGAUAGAACGCAAGUUUCCUAAACUUGAUGUCGGAGGUUCGAGUCCUCUCGGGGUCGC
rnacentral:tRNA from 1 species